GCCAGGCAUGGUGGUGCGUGCCUGUAGUUCUAGCUACUCGGGAGGCUGAGGUGGGAGGAUUGCUUGAGCCUAGGAGUUCAAGGCUGUAGUGAGCUAUGAUCAUGCCACUACAUUCCAGCCUGUGUGACAGAGCAAGACUCCAUUUCUU
ensembl:misc_RNA Metazoa_SRP Metazoan signal recognition particle RNA